rnacentral:rRNA from 1 species
UCAAGCGACUAAGCGCAUACGGUGGAUGCCUUGGCAUCUGGAGGCGAUGAAGGACGUAGGAGCCUGCGAUAAGCUCGGGGGAGCUGGCAAACAAGCGUUAUAUCCCGAGAUUUCCGAAUGGGGAAACCCACCCAGUGUAAGCUGGGUACCCUGUACUGAAUACAUAGGUGCAGGGGGCGAACCCGGGGAACUGAAACAUCUAAGUACCCGGAGGAAUAGAAAUCAAACGAGAUUCUCUUAGUAGCGGCGAGCGAAAGGGGAACAGCCUGCAAGUGAUAGCUUAAGUAUUAGAGGAACCUUCUGGAAAGUUGGGCGACACAGGGUGAUAGCCCCGUACUCGAAAAUACUUUUGUGGUACUAAGUUUGCGAUAAGUAGGUCGGGACACGUGAUAUCUUGACUGAAGAUGGGGGGACCAUCCUCCAAGGCUAAAUACUACCAGAUGACCGAUAGUGAACUAGUACCGUGAGGGAAAGGCGAAAAGAACCCCGGAGAGGGGAGUGAAAUAGAUCCUGAAACCGUAUGCGUACAAGCAGUAGGAGCAGACUUGUUCUGUGACUGCGUACCUUUUGUAUAAUGGGUCAGCGACUUAUAUUCAGUGGCGAGGUUAACCGUAUAGGGGAGCCGUAGGGAAACCGAGUCUUAACUGGGCGACACAGUCGCUGGAUAUAGACCCGAAACCGAGCGAUCUAUCCAUGAGCAGGGUGAAGGUUGAGUAACAUCAACUGGAGGCCCGAACCAGGAUCUGUUGAAAAAGAUUUGGAUGACUUGUGGAUCGGAGUGAAAGGCUAAUCAAGCUCGGAGAUAGCUGGUUCUCCUCGAAAGCUAUUUAGGUAGCGCCUCACGUAGUACCGCCGGGGGUAGAGCACUGUUUCGGCUAGGGGGUCAUCCCGACUUACCAACCCGAGGCAAACUCCGAAUACCGGUGAGUAACGCGUGGGAGACACACGGCGGGUGCUAACGUCCGUCGUGAAAAGGGAAACAACCCAGACCGUCAGCUAAGGUCCCGAAAUCCUGGUUAAGUGGGAAACGAUGUGGGAAGGCUCAGACAGCUAGGAGGUUGGCUUAGAAGCAGCCAUCCUUUAAAGAAAGCGUAAUAGCUCACUAGUCGAGUCGGCCUGCGCGGAAGAUGUAACGGGGCUAAACCAGGUACCGAAGCUACGGGUUCAUUCUUAGGAAUGAGCGGUAGAGGAGCGUCGUGUACGCCAAUGAAGGUGAAUUGAGAAGUUCGCUGGAGGUAUCACGAGUGCGAAUGCUGACAUGAGUAACGAUAAAGGGAGUGAAAAACUCCCUCGCCGGAAGACCAAGGGUUUCUGUUCGACGCUAAUCGGAGCAGAGUGAGUCGGCCCCUAAGGCGAGGCCGAAAGGCGUAGUCGAUGGGAAACGGGUCAAUAUUCCCGUACCGGACAUGGUUGCGAUGGGGGGACGAAGAAGGCUAGGUGAGCCAGGCGUUGGUUGUCCUGGUGAAAGUGAGUAGGCUGAGGGUUUAGGUAAAUCCGGACCCUUUUAAGGCCGAGACACGAAACGAACUGACCACGGUCAGGAAGUCACUGAUGCCACGCUUCCAGGAAAAGCCUCUAAGCUUCAGAUCAUGUGCGACCGUACCCCAAACCGACACAGGUGGUCAGGGUGAGAAUCCCAAGGCGCUUGAGAGAACUCGGGUGAAGGAACUAGGCAAAAUGGUGCCGUAACUUCGGGAGAAGGCACGCCGGCGUAGGGUGAUGAGACUUGCUCUCUAAGCCCGAACCGGUCGAAGAUACCAGGUGGCUGCAACUGUUUAUUAAAAACACAGCACUCUGCUAACGCGCAAGCGGACGUAUAGGGUGUGACGCCUGCCCGGUGCCGGAAGGUUAAAUGAUGGUGUUAGCCGCAAGGCGAAGCUCUUGAUUGAAGCCCCGGUAAACGGCGGCCGUAACUAUAACGGUCCUAAGGUAGCGAAAUUCCUUGUCGGGUAAGUUCCGACCUGCACGAAUGGCGUAAUGAUGGCCACGCUGUCUCCACCCGAGACUCAGUGAAAUUGAAAUCGCCGUGAAGAUGCGGUGUACCCGCGGCUAGACGGAAAGACCCCGUGAACCUUUACUAUAGCUUCACACUGGACGCUGAUGUUGCCUGUGUAGGAUAGCUGGGAGGCUUUGAACUCUGGACGCCAGUUCGGAGGGAGCCAACCUUGAAAUACCAGCCUGGCAUCAUUGGCGUUCUCACUCAGGUCCGUUAUCCGGAUCGAGGACAGUGUGUGGUGGGUAGUUUGACUGGGGCGGUCUCCUCCUAAAGAGUAACGGAGGAGCACGAAGGUACCCUCAGCACGGUCGGACAUCGUGCAUUGAGUGCAAGAGCAUAAGGGUGCUUGACUGCGAGACAGACACGUCGAGCAGGUGCGAAAGCAGGUUCUAGUGAUCCGGUGGUUCUGUAUGGAAGGGCCAUCGCUCAACGGAUAAAAGGUACU